GAUAUAACUACAGGUACGUACGAUACAACUACAACUACAACUACAACUACACAUCGUCUUUCCCGACACUGGGAAACCUCGCGAGCCACAGACAAACUCCACUCACCUCGGCAAACAACGCAAGCGCCUCAAAAUCACAUCCGGUAUCUCAGCUCCUUGUUGCGUCGUCUUGGUCUUUUUCACGCCGCACUCCUGUCCUGUUGCCAAGGGGUAUGUACGUACGAUACGAUAUGUAGCUGUAGCUACGAUGACGAUACCCUGACGCGAGCGUGUUGCCGUCGGUACAUCGGUGACAUCGGUGACGUCUGUAACAUGGGCGACACGAACAGCCUAUGCACAAUACAGCUCUUUCCGGGCUCUCCCUGACUCUUCCUGUUUGGUGUGCUAUGGACAGAUGUACCUGGGCUGGACCCGUGAGACCACGCUAAUAGGAGAAGCUUGAUAAUAAAAUUAUAGCACAAUGUAUGUA
rnacentral:misc_RNA from 1 species